ensembl:ncRNA F11E6.21 ncRNA
UGGCAACCCCAAAAAGCGAUUGAAAAAGUGAAGAAUCGAGAAAGGAAGGAAAGACAUGAAGAAAAGUUCUAGGAAACAGAAACCCCAACAAAAACGGGUGGGAGGGAUCGGCCUCGACGAAAUUGGCGAUGACAACGA